UGACAUCUUCAACGGAUGUCAACAUCCGUUUAAGGUAAAAUGGAUGUCGACAUCCGUUUUUCCUUAAACGGAUGUUGACAUCCGUUGAAGGAUGUCAC
rnacentral:pre_miRNA from 1 species